UACGUAGGGUGCAAGCGUUAAUCGGAAUUACUGGGCGUAAAGCGUGCGCAGGCGGUUUUGUAAGCCAGAUGUGAAAUCCCCGGCUUAACCUGGGAAUGGCAUUUGGGACUGCAAGGCUGGAGUGCGGCAGAGGAGACUGGAAUUCCUGGUGUAGCAGUGAAAUGCGUAGAUAUCAGGAGGAAUACCGAUGGCGAAGGCAGGUCUCUGGGCUGACACUGACGCUCAUGCACGAAAGCGUGGGGAGCAAACAGG
rnacentral:rRNA from 1 species